rnacentral:rRNA from 1 species
GACAGAGGGUGCAAACGUUGUUCGGAAUUACUGGGCGUAAAGCGUGUGUAGGCGGCUACGCAAGUCGGAUGUGAAAGCCCCGGGCUCAACCCGGGAAGUGCACCCGAAACUGCGUGGCUCGAGUACCGGAGAGGUUGGUGGAAUUCUCGGUGUAGAGGUGAAAUUCGUAGAUAUUCGCAAGAACACCAGUGGCGAAGGCGGCUCACUGGCCCGGUACUGACGCUGAGGUGCGAAAGCGUGGGGAGCAAACAGG